rnacentral:rRNA from 1 species
UACGGAGGGUGCAAGCGUUGUCCGGAUUCAUUGGGUUUAAAGGGUGCGCAGGCGGGACAUUAAGUCAGGGGUGAAAGACGGUUGCUCAACAAUCGCAGUGCCUUUGAUACUGGUGUUCUUGGGUGACCUUGAGGUAGGCGGAAUGGGUGGUGUAGCGGUGAAAUGCAUAGAUACCACCCAGAACUCCGAUUGCGGAGGCAGCCUACUGGAGGUUUACCGACGCUCAGGCACGAAAGCGUGGGGAUCAAACAGG